UUCGAUGGCGACCGGCGCACGGGUGAGUAACACGUAUCCAACCUGCCGAUGACUCGGGGAUAGCCUUUCGAAAGAAAGAUUAAUACCCGAUGGCAUAGUUCUUCCGCAUGGUAGAACUAUUAAAGAAUUUCGGUUAUCGAUGGGGAUGCGUUCCAUUAGUUUGUUGGCGGGGUAACGGCCCACCAAGACUACGAUGGAUAGGGGUUCUGAGAGGAAGGUCCCCCACAUUGGAACUGAGACACGGUCCAA
rnacentral:rRNA from 1 species